rnacentral:rRNA from 1 species
AUUGAACGCUGGCGGCAGGCCUAACACAUGCAAGUCGAGCGAGUGGCGGACGGGUGAGUAAUGUCUGGGACUCUGCCUGAUGGAGGGGGAUAACUACUGGAAACGGUAGCUAAUACCGCAUACCAUCGGAUGUGCCCAGAUGGGAUUAGCUUGUAGGUGGGGUAACGGCUCACCUAGGCGACGAUCCCUAGCUGGUCUGAGAGGAUGACCAGCCAAACGGGAACUGAGACACGGUCCAGACUCCUACGGGAGGCAGCAGUGGGGAAUAUUGCACAAUGGGCGAAAGCCUGAUGCAGCCAUGCCGCGUGUAUGAAGAAGGCCUUCGGGUUGUAAAGUACUUUCAGUGGGGAGGCGUUACCGGCAGAAGAAGCACCGGCUAACUCCGUGCCAGCCGCCGCGGUAAUAC